UAAAGCCAGGAAAGGUUGGAGGAAGCAGGAGGAAGACCAAAUAUGAGAUGAAUUGACUCCAUAAAGCAAGCCACUCUCCUAAGAGAUGAACAGGGCUGUUAAUGGCAGGACAUUUUAGAGGUUAUUGCUGAGGUGAGCAACAAUCCAUGCUUUCCUUUGUGAGAAGCAGUGAACCAGCAGAGAUCUGUCUAGUUCUAAAUUUUACCAUCCUGAAUGUGAAGAAGAGGGAUGCUCUCAAGGAAGGACGGAUGAUGAUUCCAGAGCUUGGUACUUUUUGUGGAUGACAACUUUCCAACUCCUCAGCCAUAAUCCUUGGGGAUGGAGAGGCUAUGGUUUAAAAGGAAAAGGUUUGGACCAGAGUUUGCAGCAUUCAUGACUACUAGCCAUGCUCAUGGAACUGAUGAACUUUAAGAGAUCUGGACCCCUAAAAGUCCUGUUGACAUGCCCAACAUCUGAUUCAGGUGAAAAUGUGGCACGACUUGGGGAGAUGUUUGUUUUGAGAGUAAGCUGUCAAUGUUUCCUCAAUUCCCCCCUCAAAAAAAUAAAAUAAAGAGAGAGCGAGAGAGAGAAAGAAAGAACCCACCUGAAAAACCACACAAUUUCCUUACUCAUUUCUGCUUCCACAGUAGCCUUCUCUGUGUUGUACUUUAAGCAAUCUUUUUCUGGGCAAUGUUUGAUCAACUUGAAAAAAAAUGGUCUGAUGUGUACACAAGUGCUUUUUCCUUACUUUUCGUUCUUGUUGUCACCACAAGUAUCAGACACAUGAAGAAGAAAAGGCUAAUUGAGCUGAAAGUAAAAUGGAAGGAAGUAAAUGACAUGGUGGGGAUCUUAAACUGAAAAAAAGCUGUUUGUUUUUGUGUCCUGUGCUGUGGCAGUAAUUUCUUAAGUCCUCAGAAGUCCCAGGUGAUAAAGACAAACACUUACCAGAAAUGUUAGGUCUUCUGGGCGAAGGGUAAAACAUGGGCUAAAGGGAGUGUGUCAAGUUUUUCAAAGACAAUUGAAUCUUGAAAUGUUAAACAGCCAAUUCUGGAUAAAUUUCUAUCAGAAGUAAGAAUUCAAAGUGGUAGGAAGCA